rnacentral:rRNA from 1 species
AGUGAACGCUGGCGGUAGGCCUAACACAUGCAAGUCGAACGGCAGCACAGUAAGAGCUUGCUCUUACGGGUGGCGAGUGGCGGACGGGUGAGGUAUACAUCGGAAUCUACUUUUUCGUGGGGGAUAACGUAGUGAAACUUACGCUAAUACCGCAUACGACCUACGGGUGAAAGCAGGGGAUCUUCGGACCUUGCGCGAUUGAAUGAGCCGAUGUCGGAUUAGCUAGUUGGCGGGGUAAAGGCCCACCAAGGCGACGAUCCGUAGCUGGUCUGAGAGGAUGAUCAGCCACACUGGAACUGAGACACGGUCCAGACUCCUACGGGAGGCAGCAGUGGGGAAUAUUGGACAAUGGGCGCAAGCCUGAUCCAGCCAUACCGCGUGGGUGAAGAAGGCCUUCGGGUUGUAAAGCCCUUUUGUUGGGAAAGAAAAGCAGCAGGUUAAUACCCCGCUGUUCUGACGGUACCCAAAGAAUAAGCACCGGCUAACUUCGUG